rnacentral:lncRNA from 1 species
CUUCAUCUUCAUCUAAGAAGUUAACUUCUUCGUCCAGUACACAGUCUACUAAAGCCCCAUCUCCUCUUCGUUCUCCAGAAAAGAAGGAUGUCCAAAAGAAGCCAGUAAAUACAUCCUCUCAGAAGUCUUCUGAUUCGAGAUCGCGGGUAGGGGUCGAGGCGGAGUAAAACCAGCUGCAUGUGGUCCCGGAGAUCGACGACUCUC